rnacentral:rRNA from 1 species
GACGAACGCUGGCGGCGUGCUUAACACAUGCAAGUGGAGCGACGAACCAGGGCUUGCCCUGGGGCAAAGCCGCGAACGGGUGAGUAACACGUGGGUAACCUGCCUCGAUGAUCGGGACAACCCGGGGAAACCCGAGCUAAUACCGAAUGUGCCCCGACCACAUCAGUGGACGGUGUAAAGGAAGCUUCGGCCUCCGCAUCGAGAUGGGCCCGCGGCCCAUUAGCUUGUUGGUGGGGUAAAGGCCUACCAAGGCUUCGAUGGGUAGCUGGUCUGAGAGGACGAUCAGCCACACUGGGACUGAGACACGGCCCAGACUCCUACGGGAGGCAGCAGUGGGGAAUCUUGCGCAAUGCGCGAAAGCGUGACGCAGCAACGCCGCGUGGGGGAAGACGGCCUUAGGGUUGUAAACCCCUUUCAGGAGGGACGAAGGUCGGCGCGUUAAUAGCGUGUCCGACUGACGGUACCUCCACAAGAAGCCCCGGCUAACUACGUGCCAGCAGCCGCCGUAACAC